GGUGGCAUAGCCCAGUUGGUAGAGCAAUGGACUCAUAUUCCAUGUGUCAUAGGUUCGAUCCCUAUUGCCACUA
rnacentral:tRNA from 2 species